rnacentral:tRNA from 1 species
GUGAGUGUAGCUCAGCGGUAGAGCGCCGGACUGUGGCUCCGGAAGUCGCGGGUUCGACCCCCGUCACUCACCCCA